rnacentral:rRNA from 1 species
AGAGUUUGAUCCUGGCUCAGAGCGAACGUUAGCGGCGGGCCUAACACAUGCAAGUCGAACGAGAAAAUCCCUUCGGGGGUGAGUACAGUGGCGCACGGGUGAGGAACGCGUAGGUAAUCUACCCUUUGGCGGGGGACAACAUUCCGAAAGGAAUGCUAAUACCGCGUAAGACCACGUUCACUACGGUGAGAGUGGUAAAAGGUGCCUCAAAGCACCACCAAAGGAUGAGCCUGCGUCCCAUCAGCUUGUUGGUAAGGUAAUGGCUUACCAAGGCUAAGACGGGUAGCUGGUCUGAGAGGAUGAUCAGCCACACUGGCACUGGAACACGGGCCAGACUCCUACGGGAGGCAGCAGUGAGGAAUAUUGGGCAAUGGGCGAAAGCCUGACCCAGCCACGCCGCGUGUGUGAUGAAGGCCUUCGGGUCGUAAAGCACUGUGGGGAGAGACGAAACAGCGCGCCAGGAAAUGGGUGCGCCUUGACGGUACCUCCUUAGCAAGCACCGGCUAACUCUGUGCCAGCAGCCGCGGUAAUACAGAGGGUGCAAACGUUGCUCGGAUUUACUGGGCGUAAAGCGCGUGUAGGCGGACUCGCAAGUCGGUUGUGAAAUCCCUGGGCUCAACCUAGGAACUGCAUCCGAAACUGCUUGUCUUGAGUAAUGGAGAGGGUGGCGGAAUUCCCGGUGUAGAGGUGAAAUUCGUAGAUAUCGGGAGGAACAUCAGUGGCGAAGGCGGCCACCUGGACAUUUACUGACGCUGAGACGCGAAAGCGUGGGGAGCGAACAGGAUUAGAUACCCUGGUAGUCCACGCCGUAAACGAUGAGAACUAGGUGCAGCGGAUAUUGACCUCUGCUGUGCCGUAGCUAACGCGUUAAGUUCUCCGCCUGGGGAGUACGGCCGCAAGGCUAAAACUCAAAGGAAUUGACGGGGGCCCGCACAAGCAGUGGAGCAUGUGGUUUAAUUCGAAGCAACGCGCAGAACCUUACCAGGGCUAGACAAACUAAGAAUCCUGACGAAACUCGGGAGUGCUCGCAAGAGAGCUUAGGUCCAGGUGCUGCAUGGCUGUCGUCAGCACGUGUCGUGAGAUGUUGGGUUAAGUCCCGCAACGAGCGCAACCCUUAUCCUUAGUUGCCAUCAUUUAGUUGGGCUCUCUAAGGAGACUGCCGGGGUUAACCCGGAGGAAGGUGGGUAUGACGUCAAGUCCUCAUGGCCCUUAUGUCCUGGGGCUGGAUCACCUCC